UGGGGAAUAUUGGGCAAUGGGCGCAAGCCUGACCCAGCAACGCCGCGUGAGGGAAGAAGGCUUUCGGGUUGUAAACCUCUGUCCUUGGUGACGAAGGAAGUGACGGUAGCCAAGGAGGAAGCCCCGGCUAACUACGUGCCAGCAGCCGCGGUAAUACGUAGGGGGCGAGCGUUGUCCGGAAUUACUGGGCGUAAAGGGUGCGUAGGCGGUACCUUAAGUUGGAUGUGAAAUACCCGGGCUUAACUUGGGGGGUGCAUCCAAUACUGGGGAACUAGAGUGCAGGAGAGGGAAGCGGAAUUCCUAGUGUAGCGGUGAAAUGCGUAGAUAUUAGGAGGAACACCAGUGGCGAAGGCGGCUUUCUGGACUGUAACUGACGCUGAGGCACGAAAGCGUGGGGAGCAAACAGGAUUAGAUACCCUGGUAGU
rnacentral:rRNA from 1 species